GGAUGGCUCAGUCGGUAGAGCAGGAGCCUCUUCAUCUCAAGGUCAUGGUUUCGAGCCCCACGUUGGGCA